UACGUAGGGGGCAAGCGUUGUCCGGAAUCAUUGGGCGUAAAGAGCGCGUAGGCGGCCCUGUAAGUCCGCUGUGAAAGUCAAGGGCUCAACCCUUGAAUGCCGGUGGAUACUGCAGGGCUAGAGUCCGGAAGAGGCGAGUGGAAUUCCUGGUGUAGCGGUGAAAUGCGCAGAUAUCAGGAGGAACACCGGUGGCGAAGGCGGUUCUCUGGGCAUGACUUGACGCUGAGGAGCGAAAGUGUGGGGAGCGAACAGG
rnacentral:rRNA from 1 species